UCCCUGGUAGUCCAGUGGUUAGGACUUGGCGCUUUCACUGCCAUGGCCCAGGUUCGAUCCCUGGUCAGGGAA
rnacentral:tRNA from 1 species